rnacentral:lncRNA from 1 species
GAUCAUACUAGACCAAAUGUUCCAACUCCUACUUCGUCUAGUUCGCAAUCAUCUAAAAGAACCGCAGGCCUAAAAGACCUUAGUUCUUGGACGGAGUUCAGGGGUUCUCACGGUGAUAAUUUUGGUGAUAGUUCACAACUAAAUGAGCUUCAAGUUUAUUUGUCGCAGGGCCUUGAAAAGGAGAAUCCAGACGGCACCUUUGAUACAACUAAAUGAGCUUCAAGUUUAUUUGUCGCAUGACCUUGAAAAGGAGAAUCCAGAUGGCACCUUUGAUCUUU